GACGAACGCUGGCGGCGUGCUUAACACAUGCAAGUCGAACGGAAAGGCCCUGCUUUUGUGGGGUUCUCGAGUGGCGAACGGGUGAGUAACACGUGAGUAACCUGCCCUUGACUUUGUGAUAACUUCAGGAAACUGGGGCUAAUAUCGGAUAUGAUCUCCUGCUGCAUGGUGGGGGUUGGAAAGUUUCGGCGGUUGGGGAUGGACUCGCUGGUUAUCAGCUUGUUGGGGAGGUAGUGGCUUACCAAGGCUUUGACGGGUAGCCGGCAUGAGAGGGUGAACGGGCACAUUGGGACUGAGAUAGGGACCAGAAUCCUACGGGAGGCAGAGGUGGGGAAUAUUGCAGAAUGGGCGGAAGCGUGAUGCAGCAACGCCGGGUGCGGGAUGACGGGCUUCGGGUUGUAAACAGCUUUCGAAUGUGACGAAGCGUGAGUGACGGUAAUGGGUAAAGAAGCAACGGCUAACUACGUG
rnacentral:rRNA from 1 species